GACGAACGCUGGCGGCGUGCUUAACACAUGCGAGUCGAACGGAAAGGCCCUGCUUUUGUGGGGUGCUCGAGUGGCGAACGGGUGAGUAACACGUGAGUAACCUGCCCUUGACUUUGGGAUAACUUCAGGAAACUGGGGCUAAUACCGGAUAGGAGCUCCUGCUGCAUGGUGGGGGUUGGAAAGUUUCGGCGGUUGGGGAUGGACUCGCGGCUUAUCAGCUUGUUGGUGGGGUAGUGGCUUACCAAGGCUUUGACGGGUAGCCGGCCUGAGAGGGUGACCGGCCACAUUGGGACUGAGAUACGGCCCAGACUCCUACGGGAGGCAGCAGUGGGGAAUAUUGCACAAUGGGCGGAAGCCGGAUGCAGCAACGCCGCGUGCGGGAUGACGGCCUUCGGGUUGUAAACCGCUUUCGCCUGUGACGAAGCGUGAGUGACGGUAAUGGGUAAAGAAGCACCGGCUAACUACGUGC
rnacentral:rRNA from 1 species